AUUGCGACUCAUAUUAUUUUAAGGAAUUGCGUUAUAACUUAUAACAUAAGAAAAAGAGAAGAUGCUCUGUAUGUGAUUGGGAUCAAGUGUUCACAGACCUCUUGAACCCGUACCACCCUGAGGACGCCUCGGACAGCUCGGGUGAGGAGCUGUCGAGCGGGGAACUGACGGAGACGACCAGCGAGCGACAAGUGCACAAGAGACAGAGAAUCAACGGGAGAUACUACGAUCUCACAUGAUAUGGUUUCAGCGAGUUCACUAAUAAAUUAUAAAACGUCA